ACGUAGGCAGCGAGCGUUGUUCGGAGUUACUGGGCGUAAAGGGUGUGUAGGCGGUCUAUUAAGUUUGGUGCGAAAUCUCCCGGCUCAACUGGGAGGGUGCGCCGAAAACUGCAAGGCUGGAGUAUGGGAGAGGUAGGCGGAAUUCCUGGUGUAGCGGUGAAAUGCGUAGAUAUCAGGAGGAACACCUGUGGUGUAGACGGCUUACUGGACCAUGACUGACGCUGAGGCACGAAAGCGUGGGGAGCAAACAGGA
rnacentral:rRNA from 1 species